ensembl:lncRNA
AUUAAGAAUCCACCUGCAAGGCAGGAGACAAGGGUUCAGUCCCUGGCUGGGGAAGAUCCCCUGCAGGAGGGCAUGGCAACCCACUCCAGUAUUCUUGCCUGGAGAAUCCCAUGGACAGAGGAGCCUGGCGGGCUGCAGUCCAUGGGGUUGCAAAAGACUCGGACACGACUGAGAGGCUAAACAACAACACUGGGGCAAUUGGCGAGACUUGAAUGAGGUCUGAAGACUCCGGGAUAGUCCUUCCUGCCUCUCUGGUCGGUUGUCUGAAGGGAUCACAGAAUGAGAAGGUGAGAUUCACGCUGCAGAGACUGCGGUACAGCCUCCCCACAACAAACGGAGGGAAAAGUCUCACCCUGCGUGCAAAACAAAGAGGAAAUAUUCCACACAUUUAAUGGGAUAGGCUCCAGGACAAACAGCCGCUAAAUAAUCUUGGCUAUUAAACUGACAACGACUCUUGGGACAUGUUGUUCGGGCUGUUCUACAAGGCGGUGACACUCUGAACAAACAGCGGUGGGAAGUAAAUCAGGAUCACCCAAGUCAGUUUCCUAAUUCUGGCAGUCAUGUGGUCACAGCAAAGUCUAAUUGUCCUGGAACUCAGGCUUGGUGUGAGUCAAUUUUGGAAGAGACCCCAGGCCUGAAUCUUCAGCCAUCAAAACUGUUAACCCAGGUGGUAGACAAGCAAAGCUGAACUUUCUGGUAGGUAAGAAAUAUCACAGGUAAGUAUCAAGACUGUGGAAUUAGGACUUCGCUGGUGGUCCAGUGGUUGAGAAUCCGCCUGCCAAUGCGGGGGACGUGGGUUUGAUCCCUGGUUGAGAAGCAGAUCUCACAUGCUCUGGGCAACUAAGCUCCAGUAGCCUGAGGCUACUGAGCCUGAGCUCUGCAACACGGAAAGCCCGAGGGCCUCUGGGAAGACCCAGUAGAGCCCAAAUACAUAAAAUAAAUUUUAAAAGGUUGUUGAAUCAAAAUCUUUGAUCAAAAUCGAAGCACCGAGGAAACACAUGUAUAUCCAUAAUAUAAAUAUGACAUAAAAAUAUUUGCAACCAGUUUUUAAAAAUCAAUUUAUUUUUGGUUGCUUUGGGUCUCCGUUUCUGAGUGCAUGCUUUGUCUAGCUGCGACCAUCGGGGACUCCUCUCUAGUUGUGGUGCUGGGGCUUCUCAUUGCAGUGGCUUCUCUUGUUGCAAAGCAUGGGCUGAAGAGAGCAGGCUCAGUGGUUGUGACCCGUGGGCUAAGUUGGCUUCUGAGAUCUUCCUGGACCAGGGAUCGAAGUUGAGUCCCCUGUAUUGGCAAGCAGAUUCUUAACCACUGAAGUUCCCUUAACGACCAGGGAAGUCCUGCAACCAGCUUAAUGUAAGCAUACUGAUGAAUGUGAUCAUCACUGUUCUAUUUGUGGGUCUUAAAUGUCCAUCUAGUCAAGGCUAUGGUUUUUCCUGUGGUCGUGUAUGGAUGUCAGAGUUGGACUGUGAAGAAAGCUGAGCACUGAAGAAUUGAUGCUUUUGAACUGUGGUGUUGGAGAAGACUCUUGAGAGACCCCUGAACUGCAAGGAGAUCCAACAAGUCUAUCCUAAAGGAGAUCAGUCCUGGAUGUUCAUUGGAAGGACUGAUGCUGAAGCUGAAACUCCAAUACUUUGGCCACCUCAUGCGAAGAGUUGACUCAUUGGAAAAGACCCUGAUGCUGGGAGGGAUCAGGGGCAGGAGGAGAAGGGGACGACAGAGGAUGAGAUGGCUGGAUGGCAUCACUGACAUGAGUUUGGGUAAACUCCAGGAGUUGGUGAUGGACAGGGAGGCCUGGAGUGCUGCGAUUCGUGGGGUCGAAACGAGUCGGACACGACUGAGCGACUGAAAUGAACUGAACUGAAGGUAUUUAUAGUGCUUACGAGAAUCUGCUAUAUUAGACUUGUGAAUAUAUGCUCCAGAUGAUAUUAUUCUGGGCUGCUCUUGCCUUCUGAGAGGGACGGCAUUCUACCUAGGGAAUGUUUCUCUCUUUCGAUAAACGUGCUUUCACUUGGAAAAAUAGAAAGAUUGUAUGACUCUUGUGCUUCUCUUCAAAGUUCUAGGUUUAUUUAAGGGGCUCUGAGGUCCCAGAUUUGUAAAGUUUGUUUAUUAAAUUUGCAAUCCUUGUUCAAAUGUUUUGGGAAGUCUGAAAUUGUGAAACUGGCGGCUUGCUAUUUUUAGGUUUCAGAGUAGUCAGUGAACAUUUAGAGGAAAGUUGAUGGUUUGAAAAUUAAUUAAUCAUUACCCCCAGAUCAAAUAGUUGUGAAUAUUUGUGCCCGUAUACAAAAAUUCUUCUGGCAUUAAAAGAUAUCAUCACAAUCGUUUCAGCAAACGGUGCUGGGAAAACUGGAUGCCCACGUGCAAAAGAAUGAAGUUGGACCCUAACCACUGACAAGCGUACAGUUCAGUGGCUGUCCGUACAUUCACACUGUUAUGCAACCAUCCCCGUCAGCCAUCUUCAGAACCUGAUUUCAUUACUGUAACUCCGAGCCCAUGAGACAACUCCCCACCCCUGCUGCCCCUGGCUGCCACCGUUCUACUUCCUGGUUCUAUGAAUCUGGCUAUUCCAGAUAUCUCUUUAUCAGUGCAAUCAUGCAGUGUGGCUUUUUUCACUUAGUAAAAUGUCUUCAAGAUCCAGCCGUGUUUGGCAUGCUUCAGAAUACCCUUCCUUUUCAAGGCUGAAUAAUAUUCCAUUGUAUGUGGGUUGGUGGGGUUGUACACUUUCAGUCACAUUGCAUGCCUUUGAGCCUCACCUUGAAAACAUGUCCUGUCACAGAAUCAGAGAAGCCGGGGGCCCGCGUGGUGGUUCACACUUUCCACUUGGCGUGUCACACCUUUCUUGCGUUUUCCUUUCCCCCUCCUGUCUCUCUUCCUCUUCUUUCACCUCUGCUUUUGCCUCUUUUUUCUUUCUUUCUCUCUUUAUCUUUCUUUCUUUCUCUCUUUAUCUUUCUUUCUUUCUUCUCUCUUCCUUUCUCUCUCCCUCUCCCUCCAUCCUUCCCUUCUUUCCUUCCUUCCAAUCCUUUCUUUCACAGGUGGGAUGGGGAGAGGACCUGAAAAUUUCUCUUUCUUCUUAGAAGCGGCAUCAAAGGAUGUUUGGAAAGAGGCCAGAUAGCAGUGGCGGCUAUAAAUAGCAUGGAUUUGUUUGGGUUGGGGGGCUGGAAGUAACUUUUACCUGAUAGAGUCUUGAACCUAUAGAAAGUUUCAAGUUGCAGAUAAAGAGCAACAUAGGAGCAGGCGAUUAAGGGGCACACACUACUGGGAAUAAAACAAAUAAUCUACAAGAAAAUACUGUAUAACAUGGAGAACACAGCCGAUAUUUUAUAACAGGAAAUGAAGUCUAUCCUUUAAAAAUUGCAAAUCACUAUCUUGCACACUUGAAACUUAUAUUGUACAUCAACUAUAUCUCAAUUAAAAAAAAAGAUUUGUACAAAGAACUCAUAUAAUCUUAACUAUGCGCCUCAAAUGAUCGCUAUUCCUGUUCCUUUUUGCUUUUGAGAAAGCAGGCAUUUAUUCUCUAUGUCUAUAUAUUAUUAUGUGUUUGCCUUUCCAGAAAUAUUUGAGAAAGCACUGGAGAUACCACGCCCCUUUGUCCCAAAGUACUUUAGUGUGUAUUUGCUAAGAACAAAGACAUCCUGUUUAAUAACCACAGUACAAAAAUCAAAACCAGCAAAUGUUAACAUGGAUAAAUGACUACUUUCUAAAGGACAGAACUCAUUCAAGUGUUAUCAAGAGUCUUGUUAACAUCCAGGACAACACCUGGAUUGCUUAGCCAACUGCAUUUCCUUGUGCUGACUCCGGUCUCUGUUCAUGUAAACAGUUCUCCCACCUUCUUCUUGACCUUGACAUUUUCCCAGAGUCAAGGCCAGUUGGUUUAGCUGAAGGUCGCCGAUUGGAGUUUGUUUGAUGUUUCCCCGUGAUUAGAUUCGGGUUAGAGUUUCUUAAUCUUCCCAAAUUCCACCCCUCCCCCCAGAAAAAACAAACCAUGGGAGAGCCAGUAGGAGAACAGAAGCUCACAAACAACACUUUUCACAAAACCAGCAGACAGUGGAGCUCCAGGAACCCCGAAAUAUGAGGGGGCGGUGGAGCCAAACCAGUGCCAGUACAGGAAGAAAAGCAAAAGUGCUGUGAAUUUCCUGGGACUCCCUGGUGGUCCAGUGGUUAUGAAUCCACCCUCCAGGACCUCCCUGAGGGUUCAGGGGUUAUGAAUCCGCCUGCCAGUGCAGAGGACACGAGUUCCACCCCUGGUUCGGGAAGAUUCCACCUGCUGUUGGGGCAACUGAGCUCACACGCCAUAGAACCCGUGCUGUGCAACAAGAGAAGUCACCAGAAUGAGAGGCUCGUGCACCCCAAUGAUGAGUAGCCCCUGCUCACUGCAACUAGAGAAAACUUGCACACAGCAAUGAAG